AUUGAACGCUGGCGGCAGGCCUAACACAUGCAAGUCGAACGAGUGGCGGACGGGUGAGUAAUGUCUGGGAAACUGCCCGAUGGAGGGGGAUAACUACUGGAAACGGUAGCUAAUACCGCAUACCAUCAGAUGUGCCCAGAUGGGAUUAGCUAGUUGGUGGGGUAACGGCUCACCAAGGCGACGAUCCGUAGCUGGUCUGAGAGGAUGACAAGCCAAACUGGAACUGAGACACGGUCCAGACUCCUACGGGGGGCAGCAGUGGGGAAUAUUGCACAAUGGGGGCAAGCCUGAUGCAGCAAUGCAGCGUGUAGGAAGAAGGCCUUCGGGUUGUAAAGUACUUUCAGCGGGGAAGCGUUAUCCGCAGAAGAAGCACCGGCUAACUCCGUGCCAGCAGCCGCGGUAAUAC
rnacentral:rRNA from 1 species